GGGCGUAAAGCGUGCGUAGGCGGUUAUUUAAGUCAGAUGUGAAAGCCCUGGGCUUAACCUGGGAACUGCAUUUGAUACUGGAUGACUAGAGUUGAGUAGAGGAGAGUGGAAUUUCAGGUGUAGCGGUGAAAUGCGUAGAGAUCUGAAGGAACACCAGUGGCGAAGGCGGCUCUCUGGACUCAAACUGACGCUGAGGUACGAAAGCGUGGGUAGCAAACAGGAUUAGAUACCCUGGUAGUCCACGCCGUAAACGAUGUCAACUAACCGUUGGGUUCUUAAAGAACUUAGUGGUGGAGCUAACGUAUUAAGUUGACCGCCUGGGGAGUACGGCCGCAAGGCUAAAACUCAAAUGAAUUGACGGGGGCCCGCACGAGCGGUGGAGCAUGUGGUUUAAUUCGAUGCACCGCGAAGAACCUUACCUACCCUUGACAUCCAGAGAAUCUGUGAGAGAUCGUAGAGUGCCUUCGGGAACUCUGAGACAGGUGCUGCAUGGCUGUCGUCAGCUCGUGUCGUGAGAUGCUGGGUUAAGUCCCGCAACGAGCGCAACCCUUAUCCUUAGUUGCCAGCGGUUCGGCCGGGAACUCUAGGGAGACUGCCGGUGAUAAACCGGAGGAAGGUGGGGACGACGUCAAGUCAUCAUGGCCUUUAUGGGUAGGGCUACACACGUGCUACAAUGGUCGGUACAGAGGGCCGCAAACUCGCGAGAGCCAGCAAAUCCCAAAAAGCCGAUCCUAGUCCGGAUUGCAGUCUGCAAUUCGACUGGAUGAAGUCGGAAUCGCUAGUAAUC
rnacentral:rRNA from 1 species